AUUUCGGUGACCGAGUUACAGGUGAAAGAUUUUUAAUCUUUUUACAGGGAUUUUCCCUCCGAAGUG
rnacentral:tRNA from 1 species